GCUGGCACGGCAGCUGAGGGGAUGGCAGGGGGCUGCGAUUGGGGUGUCCCUGCCUGGGUCGAGGUGAUGGCAGAGUCAUCUGGCAUGAGACAUAAGGAGCUCUUGGGAGCGGGUCCAGUGGAGGGCAGUGAGGAUGAUGGGGAAUUGGGGCAUCUCUGCUAUGAGGAAAGGCUGAGGAAGGUGGGCCCUUUUAGCCUUGAGAAUGGAUAAUUGAAAGGGGACCUCAUUAAUGUGUAUGAAUACCUGAAGUGGAGUGCCCAGAGGAUGAAGCUAGGCUGGGCUCAGUGGUGCCAACCACAAGGACAACAAGGCAGUAGGCAGAAAGCAAUGCCCAGGAGUUUUACCUGAACAUAAGGAAGAACUUCUUUCCUGUGCAGUGCUUGUUCCUUGGCCCAGAGAGGUUGUGGAGGCUCCCUCACUGGAGAUAUUUUAGAACUGUCUGGACGCAAUCCUGUGCCAUGUGCUCUGGGAUGACCCUGCUUGAGCAGGAAGAUGGGGCCAGAUGACCCACUGUGGAGCCCUUCAACCUGACCCAUUGUGGUUUGGUGACAGACGUCAUCUCUGCAUCCUCCUGACAGCCAGGAACUCUUCCCGUGGCUUGUCCCAGUGCCCAAACAGCUCCUGGUGACAUCCCUCUCGUCAGCGUGUCCCACGGGCUGCAGGCACUCUGUUCUUCAGGCCACUCAGCUGUGGCCAUCCCGUCCCCUCAGGGUGCCACAGAGUGGCUGUGGGUCAGGCUGCCAGCAGGAGGGAGGCCCUGGUCCCGCAGAGCCCCGGGGAGCAGCACGAGGCAGGGCCCAGAGCUGGAAUCUCACCCUCCACAAGUGAGAUGUGGCAACCAGCCGUGCAGAUCCCUUCAUGGAAACAGCUCCCUGUUAUUAUGUGCUGCUCUGUGUCCAGCGCUGCGGCUGGGAUCCCUGGUCAGGCUGGAUUCCAUCGUCUAAGGGCAAGCAGAACAAAAUGUCUCACCUUGUCCUGAAGGAGCCUGCAAUCAUCAACGUGAUUUGCCUAGAUUUAAAAUUUAGGCGUUUGCCCAAGAGCCUCUGUGGCUGAGAAGUUGAGGCUCAUAUGGGAGGAACUGUUCCCAAGGCUGAUAUGCAAAGCUUGGAUGAAAGCCUGGGAGUCCUUGCUCUGUGCCAGGCUUUGAUGCCCAGACUCCUUGCCUGUAAUCUGCCAUCUUUGCAGACAAUAUCAGAGCUAUCAAAUAAUUCCACCACAAUGUGAACCUUGAGGAAAAAAAAAAAAAAAAAAAAAAGUCUGCUAGGGAAAGUAUGCAGAAAUGUCCUUGGAAAAAAGUGAAAAAUUGGAUCAAGCCACAUGCAUUAUGAUUUUUGCUUACCAGGUUAAGCUUACACAGACUUUGGACUGGGAAAACAUUUUGUGUUGGUUCAGUGAAACCAUCACAGGACAUCCCAGGAGUUACCAGGAAACAGCAGGGUUUACAGGCUGCUCUUAGAGCUUAUUGGGAAAGAGCUGAGCCUGCUAAAUAUUUGAUGUUUACAAGCUCUGCUGCUGAAAUACCAGAGGCAUCUGAAGAAUCCAGCCCAGUUCUCACACCUCUCAUGCCCCAGCACAUGCUGACAGACAUGUGGAUGCUCUGCUUCCAUCCCUAGGUAAAGGACAAAUGAUCCCUGUGUGUGGUGUGGGAGGAGACUCUGUUAUCUGCUAUGAUUCACUCUGGUAAAUAACCUUCUCGAGGACUUCUCUUGUUUAUAGCAACAGCCUCAAAUGCUAAAGUUUACAGAGACUUUAAUCCUUGCUGUUCUCACGCAUAUUUACUUUGCAGUUUUAUCAGAAACAUCUCUUGAAAACCUCAGUGUUUUUAUAAUUAAUUGAAUAAUGUGACUGAUGUUAAAAAUAAAUGGGUUUGGAAGAAUGCCCAGCGAGCUGCUGAGCAGUGUGUAGUAUAGCAACCGUAGCUGCAGUCUCAGGGAUGUGUGUAUUUUCCUGACAAACGCAGUCUCAUGACUGAGAGAUUAAAUCUUUAUUAGUUCAAAAUUCA